rnacentral:rRNA from 1 species
GUCGAGGGGUAUAGGUUUUCGGACCUAGAGACCGGCGCACGGGUGCGUAACGCGUAUGCAAUCUACCUUUUACAGAGGGAUAGCCCAGAGAAAUUUGGAUUAAUACCUCAUAGUAUUACGACUCGGCAUCGAGAUGUAAUUAAAGUCACAACGGUAAAAGAUGAGCAUGCGUCCCAUUAGCUUGUUGGUAAGGUAACGGCUUACCAAGGCAACGAUGGGUAGGGGUCCUGAGAGGGAGAUCCCCCACACUGGUACUGAGACACGGACCAGACUCCUACGGGAGGCAGCAGUGAGGAAUAUUGGUCAAUGGGCGCAAGCCUGAACCAGCCAUGCCGCGUGCAGGAUGAAGCAUCUAUGGUGUGUAAACUGCUUUUGUACGAGAAGAAACACUCCUACGUGUAGGAGCUUGACGGUAUCGUAAGAAUAAGGACCGGCUAACUCCGUGCCAGCAGCCGCGGUAAUACGGAGGGUCCAAGCGUAAUCCGGAAUCAUUGGGUUUAAAGGGUCCGUAGGCGGUUUUGUAAGUCAGUGGUGAAAGCCCAUCGCUCAACGGUGGAACGGCCAUUGAUACUGCAAGACUUGAAUUAUUGGGAAGCAACUAGAAUAUGUAGUGUAGCGGUGAAAUGCUUAGAGAUUACAUGGAAUACC